ensembl:lncRNA
GGGGUCGGAGGAGGGCGGUCCCCAGCGCGCGCUGCCGCCACCGCGGGUUAGGUGCGCCACCGCGGGUUAGGUGCGCCACCACCGCGGGUUAGGUGCGCGGGCGCCUGGCAGCAGGGCUCGGGCGGGGCCCCGCCCAGAGGACAUUUGGCCGUUCGUUUCUCCCUCGGAACGGAAAGCAAGGAGUUAAGAUCUUUUCUUUUAUCGGAGACAGAAGAUCACAGGCAUAAAAGGAAACUAAGGCCAGACUCCAGCCGAGCUUGCCCGCCCCCUGGGCUGCUGGACGCCUAGCGGCCCUGGCAGAACCGGAACCGGGCGCCUGCUGUCCGCGCUAGAGCGUCCCGGGGGCGUCCCGGGGGCACUGACAGCGUGGUGGCCCCUGUGGGGCGGGGCGGGGCGACCAUUUCUCUGCCUUCCCGUCUUCUUGUUUAAACACCCAAGGUCCGCGUUCCUGCCGUGACAGCCUGCGUGGCGGGAAGGACGCCGAGCGGAGCGGAGGCUGACUGUGGCGGCCGGGUCCGACGGGACGCGCGCCGAGGAGGAGCCGUCCGGGCGGGGUCUCGCAGGCGCCCACCUCCGCUCCGCCAGGGGCAGCAGAGUCCUGUUUGCGAGCGCAGGCCUCGUCCGUCCGGCCGACUGUUGCGGCCCGGCCGGCAGGGGCCGCUGUCUCCCGGCCCGCCUUGCCCUGUGCUCCCCUCCAUCUCCACUGAGACCUGCACACUGUGUGCUUGCUACCACAUGGUGGGAAAGGAGGGAAGGAGGGGAGUGCCUACCCACUCUCAAUGAAGUGGUGUUUUAGCUAAAAAUCGCUGUACAGAGCCACGCCUGGUGCCGCACGCCUGUACUCCCAGCACCCCAGAGGCUGAGGCAGGAGGAUUGCAGGAAAUUGGAGGCCAGCCUGGGCUACAUACUUCAGGUAGAUCCCGGGAUUCACCCUUGGGCAGCUCUUGCACCCUAGCCAGGAGAGUGCUUGGGGAGGAUUCAGCAGACAGCAAAGCAGUGUCCCCAGCUCUCAGCACGCAGGCAGAAUUCUUUCUGCUGGUCAGAAAUAGGAAAAUUUAAUUUCCCACGAAGCGUCAGCAUCAGCGGAGCCGUCGGUACCACGCCGUGCCGUUCCGGCCUGCGCCUCCUGGGCCUCUCGCUGGAAUCUCCCUAGAAGAUGCUCGAGGCUUCUGGUGCCGAGUGUGCUGCGGGCUGCUCGGGAGGAUGCACAGCGCCUCCGCCUCCCGCGCGUGUUCCGGCCGGGAGACAGCAUGUACUGGGAUCCCUGAGCUGCUGCCCGGCCGCGCCUGGCCCGGGGCCCUGAAUGCCGGCCAAGCCCCAGCGGACAGCAGCAGGGUGGGGAGGGAGCCCGAUCGUCCCCAUAAAUCUCAGCCACAGCCCAGCAGACGGCCCGGGCGUUUGCGGGCAGGGGAGGAAGGAGGAGUGCCGGGGCGGAAGUGGAAUUCGCAGAUUCGCAGAUUUGUUUCAGGCAGCCAAAGAAAAAGUGAUUUCAGAUGCUCCGCACUAGGAGCGGAGGCGCUUGCCAGCGGCGGAGGGGGUGGGUAUGGGGAUUCCCGGACAGGCAGGCAGGGCCGGGGCCCAGGCAGGAGGGGACUGAGCUAGGGACCCUAGCACCUUUGGAUUUUGACAGAGUAUCACUGAGUCGUUAAGUUGCCCAGGCUGGGCUUGAACUUGUGAUCCUCCUGCCUCAGCCUGCCAGAGUGCUGGGAUCACAGGGGUGCGCCCCAUGGCCAGCUAGAGAUGAAAUUCUUAUCCAGAGGUUUAAAUUAAUAUUUACAUGCCUUGAUUAAACAUCUUGAUCCUUAAGUAAGAAGCUGCAUGGGUGAAAGGCACGCCCUGGACACAGCCGUGGGACCCGAGGUGACUGAGGCAGUGUUCGAAGGGGCAGUGCCCUGGGCCAUGGGGCUGGGCAGAGGGGCAUGGUCACCAAUGCUGGCGUUUGAAUUUUCAGAUGAGAAUACAAGUGCCCCUCCAUUUAUGACAGGAUGUGUCCUGAUAAACCCACUGUGUCCUGGACCUAUUGCAAGCCAAAAAACACAUCCUAGCCAGGGGAGGUGGCCCGCAGUUCCAGCACUCGGAGGGUGAGGCAGGAGGAUCACUGAGUGUUUGAGACACUGUCUCCAAAAGAAAAGCUGAGGACUACAAUUCAUUAUGAGAAUGAGGUGUCCUGAGGUGACUCUGGGGAGGGGGCAGGCUGUGUCUCGUGCCUAGCACACCUGGCAUUUCCCGGGCACUGACCUCACGGGGUGGUCGAGCUCUUUAGAAGUUUCUUUGUAAUUACGUUUAUCCAGCAGCAGGG